UACGAAGGGGGCUAGCGUUGCUCGGAAUCACUGGGCGUAAAGCGCACGUAGGCGGAUUGCUAAGUCAGGGGUGAAAUCCUGGAGCUCAACUCCAGAACUGCCUUUGAUACUGGCGAUCUUGAGUCCGGGAGAGGUGAGUGGAACUGCGAGUGGUAGAGGUGAAAUUCGUAGAUAUUCGCAAGAACACCAGUGGCGAAGGCGGACUCACUGGCCCG
rnacentral:rRNA from 1 species